rnacentral:rRNA from 1 species
AGCAGUCGCCACGGGAACACGGAGGGUGCAAGCGUUAAUCGGAAUUACUGGGCGUAAAGCGCACGCAGGCGGUCUGACAAGUCAGAUGUGAAAUCCCCGGGCUUAACCUGGGAACUGCAUUUGAAACUGUCAGGCUGGAGUCUUGUAGAGGGGGGUGGAAUUCCAGGUGUAGCGGUGAAAUGCGUAGAGAUCUGGAGGAAUACCGGUGGCGAAGGCGGCCCCCUGGACAAAGACUGACGCUCAGGUGCGAAAGCGUGGGGAGCAAACAGGAUUAGAUACCCGAGUAGUCCCUGUCUCUUAUAC